CCUAAUUGUGUCAAGACUGACAAUGCUCUGUCAAUCAGUGUUGCAAAAAAUUUUAAAAAAAUACUCAAGGAUUAGUACAACACCAUCCAGGAACCUUUACUGGAAAAUUAGUAUACCAUAUGAGUCUUUUACAGUUUGGAUCUAUCAUGGAGUAAAAGGAUACAUUGCAGAUUAUUCAAAAUAUGCCUCCUUGCAAUCUACGUUGUGAUCAACAGAUAUAUAGUGGCGGAUACAGUAUGUAAACAGUGGGUUCAACAGCUGUUCCAUCAGAAUAACAUUAAGCAGAGACAGUAACAGGGAAGCUCUCCUUUGGCAUGUCAGCUUAAAGUGGAUAGAGUAUGUAAAUAACGUUUGCAUCAAAGUUAUAACAUUAAGCAAAAACGGUAACCGCACAACUAUCCUUUGGCAUUUCAUCCGAAAUAUGUGAUGAAUAAAUAACCGCAUGCCAAUAGAGAGUAUCCUUAUCACUGUUUCUUCUUGUUAGAGAAGAACAUAGUGACUUAACAGUGGCGGAUACAGUAUGUAAAUAGUGGGUUCAACAGCUGUUACAUCAAAAUAACAUUCAGUAGAGACAGUAACAAGGCAGAUAUCCUUUGGCAUGUCAGCUUAAAUAUAUAGGUGCAUGCCAAUAGAGAGUAGCCCUACCACUGUUUCCCUUAUAAAUUCAAGAAUACAUUUUUAUUCACCAACUCUCCUUUUUCUCAUUUUUCUGCUUCUGUUUCAUCACACCAGAGCCUUCCAAGCUUAUAUAGGUUAUUCCUUCUUAGUUUAAGAGACAGUAUAAACCCAUGGAGAAUCAGCAUAUCCUGCCCCUUUUGUGUCUUCUUGCUUUUUCUGGGGUCAGAAAAUGGGGAACUUUCGUAUCCCUUUUACCAUUUCAUUUUGUGGCUUUUCGGUUUCCGAAUGCUAGUAUCAAUUAAUUAGGUGUUUUUUGUGACUAUGAAGUGUGCCACUUGACUCUUUUACAGCAUAUCCUUGGUCAUAUUCCUCAUUUUCCUCUUCUUUUGUCCAUAUCGACAUUUCUAUGUAGGGUCCUUUUUGCUUUCGUGUGGCUUUUCGAUUUCCUAGUGCCAGACUCACUUAAUUAGGCUAGUAAAUUUUUACUAGAUCCCAAGUCUUUCAGAAGUUGCAAAACAGAAUUGAUUUAGCAAAAGUGUAGGACAAAAUAAAAGUUGGAUGGUGCCUUUUUGAGUUCUCUCAUAUUACUCAAAAGUGUCGCCAUUUGUUCCAGUUUGCAUAUCACGCUAACCUGAACUAAUUAACUAUCUGUGGCAGAUUAAAAUUGCACCUUUCAACAUGUGUGUAUGGUAUUAAUUUAGUGAAUUUGUGUGCAACAAAAAACAGUCCUUACAACUUAAGACAUUCAAGUAUAAUGAAGCUGGACAAAUUGCAUCCAAGUCUGGAUUACAUUAGAACAUAAGAAUACUUUAUAUAAUACCAUCCUAGUUUCUUGCACCAGCUAGCCUGUCCCUCAAACCUAUGCCCCAUAUACCUACAUCACAUCUAUGUUUAUAUCUUUAUCAAUAUUGAUAUCAAUGUAAACUUCUAAAUUGGAAAGUUGAAUCACUUGAAUAUCCUUCUAAAUAGUUAAUCUGAAUAUAUAUAUAUAUAUAUUUCAUACUUAUAUAUUAAUUAAAUGUUUUCAAGUAGUGUGUAAUUGAUAAAAGCCACCUAUUUCUAGUAGUUGAUAAACAAAGUCGCCAAGUCAGACACUUUAAGAGCCAAACUAUAAAAGCCACUGCUUGGAAUAAGGGUGUUCAUUGUUUGGAGAAGCAAAUCAGUGCAGAGACAUUAGUAUAGUAUUCUAAAACGCAUAUCUUAAGUUCAGUUAGUUGGCUACUUAAUCUUUUACAUUGCUUGUGAUGAUUUGAUUCCCACCUUGUAAUAUCCUACCCCAUUUCCCCUUCUCUACGUCUAUGUAAUAAAAAAAAGAUAUAGGAAAAACAAUGAACAAAAAAUAAUAAUAAAUUAAAAAUAUAUCGUAUUCUAAAAGGACAAAGGCAUUUUCAUCAAAAAUGUCUACCAGAUUGUGUUUAGGCAGUAGUGAUGUGAGGUAAUUUGUUUGUUAGUUGUUUGUCUCUCGAAAAGAAGAUUUUUUCAUUUUGUGCUUGUUUUCUUAUAUAGCAUUCAGAAUUGGACUGUGUUGAUAUAUGAUGCUGCAGUUGUGCAGCUUCAAAUGUCUUUAGAGUAAACUGGCAGAAAUAAUGAUACACUUCGAACUUUUAUUACGAGUGAACACAACAAACACCAUAUUCAAACUUUUAUUAUGUCUAAUUGUCAGGCAAAGGAAGCAGUACUCUUCAUUUCAUGGCCUAUAAAAGAGCUAGAAUCCUAAAAUCUCAUAACAUAAGCAAGAGAGGAAUUAGGGAAAUCGAAAAGCCGCAUGAAUAACAAAAAUCGAAACCAAGUAGAAAACGUAACAUAGAAAUGUAAAAGAGAAAGGAAGAAUAGAAAAAAUAAGGAAUAUGACAAAAGGAUAUGCUGUUUGAAGGUCCUCGAGUCAAAUGGCACACACUUCAAAGGCAUAAAAUCAUGCAGCAUCAACUUUUUCCUGAGGGAAUCUGAUGAAAAUAUUUUUAAAGGAGUUGCUUUCAGGAAAUGAAAUUGUAAAGGAUAAGAAAGUUACCACAUUUUUUUACUCUAGAAAAAGCAAUCCCAUAAUGCAAGAAGAUAUCCGCAGACCACAACUAGAACCAAAAUCACAUAGGAUAUGCUGAUUCUCUCCAAGGGUUUAUACCGUCUCUUAAACUGAGAAGGAAUGCCUAUAAAAGCAUUGAAAGCUCUGUUGUGGUGAACCAGAGGAAGAAGAAAACGAGAGUUGGUGAAUGAAAAUAUAUCCUUGAAUUUAUAAGCGAGACAGUGAACCAGAGGAAGAAGAAAACGAGAGUUGGUGAAUGAAAAUAUAUUCUUGAAUUUAUAAGGGAAACAAUGAUAGGGCUACUCUCUAUUGGCAUGCAUUUGUAUGUUUCAGCUGACACGCCAAAGGAGAGCUGCCCUGUUACUGUCUCUCCUUAAUCAACAUGUCCUUCGGGCACUAUUAAUAUAUACAGUGUGAUGUCUUCAAGGUAUUUUUCUACUUUUCGCAGUGAGUCGUUCUGUUCUCAUGUUAUUCUAAAUAUUAAGUCUUGUUUACUUAAUUGUGAACUCACCAAUUGAUAAUUUGAAUGCGAGUGUGAGAUGUAUUCAAUUGUACAUUUUAAUUUAAAGAGCAGUUAUAGAGAUAUGAAUGAUAUAACAUUCUAGUUUUUGUAUUUAAUUCUCAAAUUAUUUUUGUUAACUGAAGAUUUAUACAUAGUUCUGAAUCUUCUGAUGAAUUAGAAUUCAACUCGAAUGUAAAUCUCAAACAAGCUGCUUGGAUGGUUCAAAAGAUUUCCAAAGCUAGGAAAUUAACACAUUGGAAAUUCAGGUUACAGGAUAAUUGAGGUUCAGCAGAUUACACAAUUUUCUAUUAGGAAAAUGUAUCUAAAGGUAAUUGAAAAUUUUCCGAACUUUGAAAUAUACAGUUCAAACUCAGGGAAUUAUUUUGGAGUUUGAAUUAGUUAAGUAUAUAAUUGAAAUAAUCAUGACAUUGGGCAGCUCAACAUUGAUUCGGAAAAGGCCAACUGGUUCAGCUGCAACUCAAAGACCAUUUUACAGUUGUAACAUUAGACUUGUAGUUUUAUUCUUAGCCAUUUUAUGUGUAACUACAAAUGCUUGAUUCAUUUACGAAAUAAAGUUUGAUACAUCAAUCAUCCUCAAUUCCACGAAUAUUUUGUUUAUAUAAUCUUCUUUUUCUCUCUCGUUAAGCCGGGGCAUUUCCACCCGGGAAAUUUCCAUCUAAUUUUUGCAAGUCUAAUUCUAACAUGGUAUCAUAGCAGGCAAAUGAACUAUACUUGUUUCUCUCAUUAGAGCAUCAUAUCCUCGAAACUAGAUUGACGAGAGGGAGUUGCUCGGAUGGUAAGCACCCCUCACUUCCAACCCGAAGGUUGCGAGUUUGCGUCACCAAGGGAGCAAAAGGGGUGGCAGCUCCUAGGGAGGGUUAAAAAAAAAAAGCUAGAUUUUGUAUUUUGAUUGAUUUUUAAAAAAAAACAAUAUAUGGAUAGGGUUCAAUUUCUGAUUCCGCAGGGGUUUGCUCUAUUCUAUUUCUGAUUCAAAGGUUUCACAAUGGAUUUACGGCGAUACUUAAGGCGUUCAUGAUGAUGUAUUAUUUUGGGCAUGGUGACUGAUCUUAGCAUUUAUUCGAAGUUGAAGAUUCCCCUAUUACCCAUACUGGAAAAGGUUCAAUGAUAUGAUGAUUGCUUGGAUGACUAUGAACAUUUCUAAUUUUCUACUAGUGUUUUAGGGUAUAUGACACUAAUAGGGAAACUUUGUUGGACAUUAAUGAGAGAUUUUGGAUCAAAUAGGUCUAAGUUCAUUCAAUUUCAAAUGACAUUAGUUUCAUUUCCAAGAGAACUUCAAAAAUUGUCUCAUAUUUCAUUAGACUGUGAAGCAUUUGGGAUGAGAUGAACAUUCAUUAUUUAUUGGUCAUAUGCUCUUGUGGCCCCUUUCCCAAGUUUCUAGGAGAACUGAAGUAGUUUUGGUUCCUAACUUGGUUGAAUAAUUUCUACUCCACAUUUAUGAGCAAUAUACUUAUGAUAUCUCCCCUUGCUCUGUGUUAAAACAUGCCAAGAAAUAGAGAGAGAACUCACACUUUCUUCCUCGUCUGCUCCUUCUGGUGCCGAAGAAGUUUUACUCAAAGAGUCUAAUUUAAGGCAACGAAGCAUGUCCUUUUGUCUCUUGCAAAUAUUGCAAGAAGUCAGGACACACUCUUAAUAAGUUCAUCCAAGAGCAAAAUAUCAGUCUUUUGUGUCCAUAUUGAUAAUUUUACUCCAAUACUCUUAGCUUCCACAUCCCAAUUUGGUGAUCAUUCAGCACAUGAAUUUACUCAGAAGCAAUAAGAAUAUCUCAUGCCUCUUCCUUCCAAAUAAUCAAAUCUCUCCUAGGUUCAAUAAUGAUGUUUCUUUUGGAGAGAUUUAAGACUAUGCUCACUUUGCAGGUUUAAUUAGUAUAUUUUUUGUAGUUAAUUUUGUGUUUUUUCAUGCAUAUUCAUCAUUGCAAUUAGGGGUAGAUACUUGAAUCUUUUACUCAGGGGCCGCUAGUCACAUGACUCCAUUUAUGGUGUUUAUAAGCUAUAUCAGUGUAUAUCACAUUGUAUUUCCAUAAAUCUCAUGUAUACCAUAUAUAUAUCUGUAAAUAUAAUCCACGAUAAUCUGUGAUUAUGUGAAACACCCCACUAAUUUGUGUCAAGACUGACAAUGCUCUGUCAAUCAGUGUUGCAAAAAUCAAAAUAAAAAAUAAAAAAUCAAGGAUUAGUGCAACACCAUCCAGGAACCUUUACUAGAAAAUUAGUACGUACUUCUUUUACAGUUUGGAUCUAUCAUGGAGUAAAAGAAUACAUUGCAGAUUAGGAUUAUUCAAAAUAUGCCUUCUUGCAAUCAACGUUGUGAUCAACAGAUAUAUGGUGGCGGAUACAGUAUGUAAACAGUGGGUUCAACAGCUGUUCCAUCAGAAUAACAUUAAGCAGAGACAGUAACAGGGCAGCUCUCCUUUGGCAUGUCAGCUUAAAUAUAUAAGUGCAUGCCAAUAGAGAGUAGCCCUACCACUGUUUCUCUUAUAAAUUCAAAAAUACAUUUUUAUUCACCAAACUCUUUUUUUUUUCUCAUUUUUCUGCUUCUGUUUCAUCACAACAGAGC
rnacentral:lncRNA from 1 species